GCCAAACAGCUAGCUUAAACACCAUAAAUAAAUAGAUACCAUAACUAAUUAAUAAUAACCUACAGUAUCAAACUAAACCAUUUUUCCACCUGAGUACGGGAGACGGAAAGGGAUACCUCAAGCAAUAGAGAAAGUACCGCAAGGGAAAGCUGAAAGAGUAGUGAAAUAACCCAUAUAAGCAUAGAAAAGCAAAGCCUAAACCUUGUACCUUUUGCAUCAUGAUUUAGCCAGUAUCUUACAAGCAAAGAGACCUUUAGUUUGUUACCCCGAAACCAAGUGAGCUACCCCGGGGCAGCCUAGCAGGGCCAACCCGUCUCUGUGGCAAAAGAGUGGGAAGACCCCCGGGUAGAGGCGAUAAACCUACCGAACUUGGUGAUAGCUGGUUGCCUGAGAAAUGAAUAGAAGUUCAGCCUCGUACCCCUUAACGCAAUGAUGAUAUGUCUAGUCAAGCCGGUAAGAGAAAUACGAGAGUUAGUUAAAAGGGGUACAGCCCUUUUAACCAAGGACACAACCUUAAACAGGAGGAUAAAGAUCAUAUUCACCAAAACUAGUUGCCUCAGUGGGCCUAAAAGCAGCCACCUGAUCAGAAAGCGUUAAAGCUCAAGCAACUGAGAGUUUAUUAUUCUGAUAGUUAAUCUUACUCCCCUAACAAUAUCAGGCUAUUCCAUGCCAACAUGGAAGAGACCAUGCUAAAAUGAGUAAUAAGAGACCAGCCUCUCUCCUUGCACGAGUGUAAACCAGAUCGGACAAACCACUGGUAAUUAACGAACCCAAUAAAAGAGGGUAAUGUGAAUCGCAAAUUAACCAGGAAGUUCUCACAACUCUUCAUCGUUAACCUCACACUAGGGUGCCCUAAAGGAAAGACUAAAAGAAAGGGAAGGAACUCGGCAAACUCAAGCCUCGCCUGUUUACCAAAAACAUCGCCUCCUGCAAACCCCUAUGUAUAGGAGGUCCAGCCUGCCCAGUGACUACAAGUUCAACGGCCGCGGUAUUUUGACCGUGCAAAGGUAGCGCAAUCACUUGUCUUUUAAAUGAAGACCUGUAUGAAUGGCCAAACGAGGGCUUAGCUGUCUCCCCUCUCCAGUCAGUGAAAUUGAUCUAUCCGUGCAGAAGCGGGUAUAAUAAUACAAGACGAGAAGACCCUUUGGAGCUUAAGGUACAACUUCACCUGCGUUAAACAACUCUGUCAUCGAGUGAAAACCUAGUGGAUGCUGAAGAUUUACCUUCGGUUGGGGCGACCACGGAGAACAAAAGAUCCUCCAGGUGGACUGGAAAACUCUAGAGCCAAGAAGCACGAUUCCAAGUCACAGAAAAUCUGACCAAAUAUGAUCCGGCCUUAAGGCCGAUCAACGGACCAAGUUACCCUAGGGAUAACAGCGCAAUCCCCUCCAAGAGUUCAUAUCGACGAGAGGGUUUACGACCUCGAUGUUGGAUCAGGACAUCCUAAUGGUGCAGCCGCUAUUAAGGGUUCGUUUGUUCAACGAUUAAAGUCCUACGUGAUCUGAGUUCAGACCGGAGCAAUCCAGGUCAGUUUCUAUCUGUAAUGUCAUUUUUCCUAGUACGAAAGGACCGGAAAAAAGGGGCCCAUGCUUAAGGCACGCCCCACCCCUAAUUAAUGAAGCCAGCUAAAUUAAGCAAGGGGAGGACUCAAAAGUCGCCUAAAUAAGGCCUUACUAAGA
rnacentral:rRNA from 1 species